rnacentral:rRNA from 1 species
GACGGGGCCGCACAAGCGGUGGAGCAUGUGGUUAAUUCGACGCAAACGCGAAAACCUUUAACCUGGGCUUGACAUGGAGAGAAUCUCCUGGAAACAGGAGAGUGCCUCGCAAGAGGAGCUCUCACACAGGUGCUGCAUGGCUGUCGUCAGCUCAUGCCGUGAGGUGUUGGGUUAAGUCCCGCAACGAGCGCAACCCCCAUCCCCAGUUGCCAUCAUUAAGUUGGGCACUCUGAGGAAACUGCCCGGGUUAACCGGGAGGAAGGCGGGGAUGACGUCAAGUCCUCAUGGCCCUUAUGUCCAGGGCUACACACGUGCUACAAUGGGCGGUACAAAGGGUCGCAAACCCGUAAGGGGGAGCUAAUCCACCAAAAGCCGUCCUCAGUUCGGAUUGGGGUCUGCAACUCGACCUCAUGAAGCUGGAAUCGCUAGUAAUCGCGGAUCAGCAUGCCGCGGUGAAUACGCUCCCGGGCCUU